rnacentral:rRNA from 1 species
UACGGAGGGUGCAAGCGUUAUCCGGAUUCACUGGGUUUAAAGGGUGCGUAGGCGGGCAGGUAAGUCAGUGGUGAAAUCUCCGGGCUUAACCCGGAAACUGCCGUUGAUACUAUCUGUCCUGAAUAUCGUGGAGGUAAGCGGAAUAUGUCAUGUAGCGGUGAAAUGCUUAGAUAUCAAGAGGAACACCUGAGGUGAAGACGGGUUGCUGGGCCGACACUGACGCUGAGUGCGCGAAAGCCAGGGGAGCAAACGGG